UACGUAGGGUGCAAGCGUUGUCCGGAAUUAUUGGGCGUAAAGAGCUCGUAGGCGGUUUGUCGCGUCGAAUGUGAAAACCCGGGGCUCAACCCCGGGCCUGCAUUCGAUACGGGCAGACUAGAGUUCGGUAGGGGAGUCUGGAAUUCCCGGUGUAGCGGUGAAAUGCGCAGAUAUCGGGAGGAACACCAAUGGCGAAGGCAGCUCGCUGGGACGGUACUGACGCUGAGACGCGAAAGCGUGGGGAGCAAACAGG
rnacentral:rRNA from 1 species